CGGUGGUCUUCCAUCUCACACUCCUCUUUCUUCUUUACCUUUUCCCUCUUCCAUAGUUUGUAUUUGUUUGUUUUCUCUGUCUCCUCAAAUCAAUCAAAUUUCAACUUCUUCAACUGAGCUGUGGCGUUGAAGUCCAUCUACCAUCUUGGAUUUAGACGGUGCUGGGCACUGGUCAGGCAUUGAGAUUCAGUAGAGUUUUGCAGCCGGCGAUUGUGGCCUUGCCUUCCACUUUCACUUUCAUUCAUCAACACUGCGCUUGCAGCAUCCCGGAUCUCAAACCACAACCUAUGCUUCUCUCUCACUCUACUCAUAACCCUAUACUUUUCUGAUUCUGCGCUGUAUUGAAACCCUUUCGAUCCCAUGCCCAAAUUUUCCAUACACCAAUUAAACCCCCUCGCAAUCUCUCUUCACAAGCCGGCGCGCCUUCCCCCUUUCUUGUAUUUUUCCUCUCUUCCUCUUUCUUCCAACUCAACUCCGGAUGCCCAAAAUGAGCUCUCGAUAUCACCUCAAAUGUUCAAAUCCGGCCCCCAAUUCGGUUCCUAUAAGGUGGGGGAUGCAACAUUUUAUCGUUUAAUCGAGAACUAUGCAACUUCUGGAGAAUUCCAUUUGAUACACCAAGUUUUGGAUAGAAUGAAACGUGAAAGGCGGGUCCUUAAGGAAACUGUUUGUAUCCUCAUUUUCAAGGCUUGCGGGAAAGCUCAUUUACCUGGGGAAGCUGUGAAAUUUUUUCACAGAAUGGCCAACGACUUUCAUUGUAAGCAGACUGUAAAGUCAUUCAAUUCGGUUCUUAACGUAAUUAUUCAAGAGGGGGACUUUUCAUACGCAUUCAAGUUUUAUUUGCUCGUUUUCGGUGCCAAUAAGAAAGGCUUUCAGCCCAAUCUACUCACUUAUAAUUUGAUUAUUAAGACACUGUGCAAGUUAGGACAGAUAGAUAGAGCUGUUGACACUUUUAGAGAAAUGCCACUGAAAAACUGCAAUCCCGACGUCUUCACUUAUAGUACAUUAAUGAAUGGGUUAUGUAAGGAAAGCAGGGUAGACGAGGCAGUGUUUUUGCUGGAUGAGAUGCAAGCAGAAGGCUGCCUUCCAAAUCCCGUGACAUAUAAUGUAUUGAUUGAUGCACUAUGCAAGAAUGGUGACUUGAGUCGAGCGGCAAAGCUUGUGGAUAAUAUGUUUCUCAAAGGUUGUGUUCCAAACGAAGUGACCUAUAAUACCCUUAUCCAUGGGUUGUGCUUGAAGGGAAAGUUGGACAAAGCUCUUAGUCUUUUGGAGAAAAUGGUGUCGAGUAAAUGUGUUCCUAAUCGAGUCACAUAUGGAACAAUCAUUAAUGGUCUUGUUCAACAAAGAAGGGCUGAGGAUGGAGUACACAUUUUGGUUUCUAUGGAAGAGAGAGGACAAAAGGCAAAUGAGUACAUUUACUCGUCUCUCAUCAGUGGUUUAUUUAAGGAGGGCAAGUCUGAAAAUGCCGUGAGGCUGUGGAAAGAAAUGGCAGAGAAGGGAUGCAAACCCAACGUUGUUGUUUACGGUGCCUUUAUAGAUGGUCUAUGUCGAGAUGAAAAGCCAGAUGAAGCUGAAGACAUUUUGCAGGAAAUGUUAAGCAAAGGCUUUUUACCAAAUGCCUUCACUUACAGCUCCUUAAUGAAGGGGUUUUUUAAAAAAGGUGACAGCCAAAAAGCAAUUCUUGUGUGGAAAGAGAUGAUGAGUCAGGAUAUGAGGCACAAUGUAGUUUGUUGCAGUGUCUUACUUAAUGGCCUAUGUGAGAGUGGAAGACUAAGGGAGGCGUUGACAGUGUGGAAGCACAUGCUCGGUGAGGGACUUAAGCCUGAUGUUGUGGCUUAUAGUUCAAUGAUUAAAGGUCUUUGUGAUGUCGGCUCCGUAGACAAGGGCUUGAAGCUUUUCUAUGAGAUGCAGUGUCAGGAGCCCAAGUCCCGACCAGAUGUAGUCACCUAUAAUAUACUUCUCAAUGCCCUUUGUAGGCAGGAUAAUCUCACCCGUGCCAUUGAUCUUCUAAAUAGUAUGCUCGAUGAAGGCUGUGACCCUGACUCAUACACAUGCAAUAUCUUUUUGGAAACUUUGAGGGAGAGGAUUAAUCCACCACAAGAUGGAAGGCUGUUUUUAGAUGAGCUCGUGGUAAGGUUACUUAAGCGAGAGAGAAAAUUAUCUGCUUUGAGAAUUGUAGAGGAAAUGCUCCUAAGAUUUCUGCCACCGGAGCCAUCAACUUGGUCCAGAGUCAUUCAAUGCACAUGCAAACCAAAAAGGAUUCGAGAAACCAUAGACGAGUGUUGCAGAAGCCUAUAUGGAUAAUGACAGACUGUACUUUGCUGUCUUUUGAGAUUUCCAUUAUAUGGAGCAUGACGUCUUAGAAGAAAAGUUCUCCGAGUUUUGAGGUGAGCAAGGAGUUGGUUUCAGAAGUUCCAAAAUAGAGUAAAGAAGGAAACUGUAUGUAAAUGAGGUUCGGGAUGUACCUUCAAGUACGACGAAGCAGAAAGUUGAGGUUGCCAAGCAAGAUAUUGACAACCAUUACAGAUCUCAAAUGAAAUCAUUGCAAGAUAGGAAGGAGAGGUGUUUUUUUAUAUAUAUAUGUAUACUUUUUAUGUUUAAAUAAAUUAAAUGGUAUGGUUACAGUUGAUGGUUUUCCAUGGGAUCUAGAAGACUAGAAGUAUAAUACUUGUAAGAAAAUAUGUGCAGGGGCCAAAGAAUUCGUAUGUUGGGUGUUCUAGAGGAGGCUUGCUGAUGCAGAUGUUUAUGAGGAAGACGAAAUAAAUUUCUGUUAAAUAUUUAGAACAGAAGGAGACGGAAUACACGCGCCUUCGUAGGCAUAAAAUGGGCGCUGAUGACUUUGAACUUUUAACAAUUAUAGGAAGGGGUGCAUUUGGGUUAGACUUGUAGAGAUAAAAUCACAGGUCAUGUUUAUGCAAUGAAGAAGCUUAAGAAAUCUGAGAUGCUUUAUAGUGGGCUGGUAUUUGUGAAACCUUGUGCCCUAUAUUGGUUUGAUGAUGGAUUGACAUAUUUUCACUAUUCUAGUUGAUGGUUAUUCUUCCUUCUGAAUUUCAUACUUGCUUGUGUAUAGUAGGCCUAGUAUGUGAUGUGAAGUUGGUAAAGAACUUACUAUUCCUUAAAUUAAAUGAAGGAUGAGAAAUUGGAUCUUA